rnacentral:rRNA from 1 species
CGCAGUGCGCUACCUGCAGUCGAACGACCUUCGGGUGAGUGGCGGACGGGUGAGUAACGCGUGAGGAUCUGCCUUCAGGAGGGGGACAACAGUUGGAAACGACUGCUAAUACCCCAUAUGCCUAUGGGUGAAACGGUGAAUUCCGCCUGAAGAUGAACUCGCGUCGGAUUAGCUAGUUGGUGGGGUAAGGGCCUACCAAGGCGACGAUCCGUACCUGGUCUGAGAGGAUGAUCAGCCACACUGGGACUGAGACACGGCCCAAACUCCUACGGGAGGCAGCAGUGGGGAAUUUUCCGCAAUGGGCGAAAGCCUGACGGAGCAACUACGCGUGCGGGAUGACGGCCUGUGGGUUGUAAACCGCUUUUCUCAGGGAAGAAGAUCUGACGGUACCUGAGGAAUCAGCAUCGGCUAACUCCGUGCCAGCAGCCGCGGUAAUACGGAGGAUGCAAGCGUUAUCCGGAAUUAUUGGGCGUAAAGCGUCCGCAGGCGGCCUAUCAAGUCUGCUGUUAAAGGUCGGGGCUCAACUCCGGUUAGGCAGUGGAAACUGAUAGGCUAGAGUACGGUAGGGGUAGAGGGAAUUCCCAGUGUAGCGGUGAAAUGCGUAGAUAUUGGGAAGAACACCAGUGGCGAAGGCGCUCUACUGGGCCGUAACUGACGCUGAGGGACGAAAGCUAGGGGAGCGAAAGGGAUUAGAUACCCCUGUAGUCUUAGCUGUAAACGAUGGACACUAGGUGUUGGCCGUAUCGACCCGGUCAGUAUCGUAGCUAACGCGUUAAGUGUCCCGCCUGGGGAGUACGCACGCAAGUGUGAAACUCAAAGGAAUUGACGGGGGCCCGCACAAGC